GUCUCAGUCUGCACGCGUACUUGUGCCCACCACUCAGACUGCUAGGCACUAACCUUGACUAACCAUACACCUUCAACCACAAAAUACAGCAAACUAAAGUAGCUUCGUCUCUCCAGCUCCAAAAUGGCCGAGGGAAAGUAGCAGCCAAGGGCCCAAGGUGAUAUACAACACAAAGCUCAAAUUCAAAGCCUCUCGAGCUACACCCAAAGAAACAAUGGCGUCCCUGGCCGGAGCUGUCCAACUCCUGGUGGUCACGCAGCUGGUCGUCUCUGCGCUGACGCUGUUCCUAACAAUGGAAGCAUGUAGUUGCUUUUGCUUUGCAGACCGCUGCGGUAUAUCAACACUAGCCGUGGAACACUAAAACUCAAUAAUCUCGAAGCCUUAUUAGUCAUCGAGUUGCAGCAGCGACGUGCAAGCUAUGAAGUUGAUGACAACAUCUCCAAGGCUUCCGAUUCCAGGUCCAUGGGACAUGAUGUGCUCGAGCAUAUACUUGAUGGCACAGAGGAGCCGACGAAUCUACCGUUCGAGCUUCUGAAGAACAUCACUGGAAAUUUCUCCGAAGAGAGAGAAAUCGGUCAUGGUGGAUUCGGAAUGGUUUACAAGGGUGUACUCCGAAAUGGGAUUGUUGCUGUGAAGAGGAUUUUCAGCCACCACACAAUCAAUGAAAGGUUAUUUUAUCGUGAAGUUAACAGUCUAUUGAAUGUUAACCAUGAAAAUGUAGUCCGGUUUCUUGGCUACUGUGCUUGUACUGAAGAAAAGGCCAUGAGAAUUGAAGGAGUAAGUGAAUAUAUUUAUGCCGAGAUAAGAGAAAGACUGCUAUGUUUUGAGUAUAUUAGCAACGGAAGCCUUCGUGGAUAUAUUACUGACGAGUUAAGCAGACUUGAAUGGAAUACACGUUAUCAGAUAAUAAAACAAAUUUGUCAUGGUUUGCAUUACCUACACAAGGAAAAGACUAUUCUUCACAUGGAUUUGAAACCUGACAAUAUACUUUUGGAUAACAACAUGGUGGCCAAAAUCUCGGACUUUGGAUUAUCAAGACUGGAUGAAAAAUCACAAACAAUGGAUGCAAAACGUUGUGUAACAUUAGGAUAUUGCUCUCCGGAAUAUCUACUUGGUGGUAAGAUGUCAGUCAAAUCUGACAUGUAUAGCUUGGGUGUAAUGAUCAUUGAGCUGGUGACGGGAUAUAAAGAUAUCCCUGACAACAAUAAUGUACUGAGAAGAUGGAGACACAGAUGGAAUAAAUCACAGAAGGAAACACCAUGGUCUUACCAGAUAUUACAAAUAACUAAAUGCAUCGGAAUAGGGCUACAUUGUCAGGAAAGUGACCCAUACAGACGGCCAUUUAUACAGGACAUAAUACAUGAUAUGAACGGAAAUGAAGGUACUUUUGGACAAAACAGCAACGCUGAUGGAUUUUAUGCUGACCAGACAAGGCCUUGUUGGGAUGACGAUAUGCUUGAUAUUGAGCCGCUCAAGCUACAUUUUCAGUUCGAACUUAACAAGGAGAUAUCAUGCCUACUUAAUCUAGACAACAGUACAACUGCUGCCAUUGCCUUCGCUAUACAAUCGGUGAGCCCGAUGCCAUACUGCAUACAACCAAACAAAGGAAUUGUUCUACCACUAUCCAGGUGUGCCAUUGUGAUAACAUUAGAGUCACAAAGUAUGCCACCAAAGGACAUGCAACACCUGGGUGAGUUCGUCGUACAGAGCGCCAAAAUAAUUGAUGGAGUUACACCUGAGGAGAUAACGUCGGACAUGUUCAAUAAAGUGUCUGGUGAAGUGGUUGAUGAGGUGAACGUGGAUGCUAUUUUUGAACUGGCACUACUACUUGAGGAAAGUUAAGUAUGAUGUAUACAAGUGCAACACUUCAAUUUAUGAAUUUCGGUAAACAUGAAUAACUUAUUGUACCAGCUUAAUAUGUUUCAAAGAAACCUUUAUACUGGUCACAAGGAAUGUAAAGUCAUCUUAGAGAGACCUAUAUUUUCCAGUGAUAUUUUAGUUUUCUUAACUUCUGUUGUUGCCAGACUAUUUUUUCAAUUUCCUUGAGAUUGGUACAAUAUACAUUUUC
rnacentral:rRNA from 1 species